CUGCACAACUAGUUAAAGUUUCUUUUCUCCCACUCAGUGACCUCGGGCUGAUUCCUGAGAGGUCAACUAGAGCAACCAGGCAGAGUGGCUCCAAUUUCCUCCAGAAUGAUGGCGAGGGCGACUUCUACUACGGCGGCGGCGCCUUCGGAGGCGUUCUUGGCUCAUUGGCAACUUUGAAGACGAUGCCAAGGAAGGCAUUGGGGCUGCCUGGCAGGAGGAGAGCCACUUGAACAGGUACAUGUGGCUGAACAAGCCCAGUAAGGUUCUGUCUCCUGAGUACCUGUGGCAGGAUUUACAAGCCAGAAACUCAGAAAUUCACGUCAUCAGAUUCUCUGGGGUCAUAAAGAACUACAACGAAAUACGACCCAACUGAGCUGAAGUACUGGACCAACCAGCGUUUAGCUCCGGAGACACUUCCUGUUUGCUCCGAUCCAGAAUCAAUAACUCAUCUGAGCAUGUGCAAUACUUACCGACAGACUGUUCCAGUCUGGUCCGCUGUUUCACUGGUUUAACUCGGAGUCUGUUUGAAGUAACCUGAAAGAACCCAGAGGUCUGUACCUGAAUUAAAGCUGCUGCUGGUUCUGAUUUUUCUGCUGCUGGUUCUGAUUCUUCAGCUGCUGGUUCUGAUUCUUCAGCUGCUGGUUCUGAUUCUUCAGCUGCUGGUUCUGAUUCUUCAGCUGCUGGUUCUGAUUCUUCUGCUGCUGGUUCUGAUUCUUCUGCUGCUGGUUCUGAUUCUUCUGCUGCUGGUUCUGAUUCUUCUGCUGCUGGUUUUGAUUCUUCUGCUGCUGGUUUUGAUUCUUCUGCUGCUGGUUCUGAU